AUGCUCACUUCAACAGCACAUACACUAAAACUAGAACAAAACAGAGGAUAUUAGCAUGGCACCUGCGCAAGGAUAACACGCAAAUUAAUGAAGUAUUCCCUAACGUU